UACGGAGGGUGCAAACGUUGCUCGGAAUUAUUGGGCGUAAAGCGCACGUAGGCGGCCGACUAAGUCGGGUGUGAAAGCCCAGGGCUCAACCCUGGAAGUGCACUCGAAACUGACCGGCUUGAAUAUGGAAGAGGGUCGCGGAAUUCCCGGUGUAGAGGUGAAAUUCGUAGAUAUCAGGAGGAACACCUGCGGUGUAGACGGCUUACUGGACCAUAACUGACGCUGAGGCACGAAAGCGUGGGUAGCAAACAGG
rnacentral:rRNA from 1 species